rnacentral:rRNA from 1 species
UACGUAGGCAGCGAGCGUUGUUCGGAGUUACUGGGCGUAAAGGGUGUGUAGGCGGUCCUCUAAGUUUGGUGUGAAAUCUCCCGGCUCAACCGGGAGGGUGCGCCGAAAACUGGAGGGCUAGAGUGCGGGAAGGGAGAGUGGAAUUCCUGGUGUAGCGGUGAAAUGCGUAGAUAUCAGGAGGAACACCGGUGGUGUAGACGGCUCUCUGGACCGCGACUGACGCUGAGACACGAAAGUGUGGGGAUCAAACAGG